AACGCUAGCUACAGGCUUAACACAUGCAAGUCGAGGGGAAACGACAUCGAAAGCUUGCUUUUGAUGGGCGUCGACCGGCGCACGGGUGAGUAACGCGUAUCCAACCUGCCCAUCACUUGGGAAUAACCUUGCGAAAGUAAGACUAAUACCCAAUGACGUCUCUAGAAGACAUCUGAAAGAGAUUAAAGAUUUAUCGGUGAUGGAUGGGGAUGCGUCUGAUUAGCUUGUUGGCGGGGUAACGGCCCACCAAGGCGACGAUCAGUAGGGGUUCUGAGAGGAAGGUCCCCCCCAUUGGAACUGAGACACGGUCCAAACUCCUACGGGAGGCAGCAGUGAGGAAUAUUGGUCAAUGGGCGAGAGCCUGAACCAGCCAAGUAGCGUGCAGGAUGACGGCCCUAUGGGUUGUAAACUGCUUUUAUAAGGGAAUAAAGUGAGUCUCGUGAGACUUUUUGCAUGUACCUUAUGAAUAAGGACCGGCUAAUUCCGUGCCAGCAGCCGCGGUAAUACGGAAGGUCCGGGCGUUAUCCGGAUUUAUUGGGUUUAAAGGGAGCGUAGGCCGGAGAUUAAGCGUGUUGUGAAAUGUAGAUGCUCAACAUCUGAACUGCAGCGCGAACUGGUUUCCUUGAGUACGCACAAAGUGGGCGGAAUUCGUGGUGUAGCGGUGAAAUGCUUAGAUAUCACGAAGAACUCCGAUUG
rnacentral:rRNA from 1 species